ACUGGGCGUAAAGCGUACGUAGGCGGACUAUUAAGUCAGAGGUGAAAUCCCGGGGCUCAACCCCGGAACUGCCUUUGAUACUGGUAGUCUUGAGUUCGAGAGAGGUGAGUGGAAUUCCGAGUGUAGAGGUGAAAUUCGUAGAUAUUCGGAGGAACACCAGUGGCGAAGGCGACUGACUGGACUAUUUCUGACGCUGAGGUGCGAAAGUGUGGGGAGCAAACAGGAUUAGAUACCCUGGUAGUCCACACCGUAAACGAUGAGAGCUAGUUGUCGGCAGGCAUGCUUGUUGGUGACGCAGCUAACGCAUUAAGCUCUCCGCCUGGGGAGUACGGUCGCAAGAUUAAAACUCAAAGAAAUUGACGGGGGCCCGCACAAGCAGUGGAGCAUGUGGUUUAAUUCGAUGCAACGCGAAGAACCUUACCAGGCCUUGACAUCCUCGGAACUUUCUAGAGAUAGAUUGGUGCCUUCGGGAACCGAGUGACAGGUGCUGCAUGGCU
rnacentral:rRNA from 1 species